CAACUGCCACCAUGGCGACAUGGCGAUGAAUGACAACCAUCAAUUUGAACCUCGCAAGUGGUCCCUGUAAGGAUCAAAGCAGUACAGAUGUCAAGAGCUCAUGAGGGUAGAAGCAAAAACUCAAGAGCUGACCAGACUUUAUCUGUGCUGAUGAUGGCCUCUGAGGUACAAGUGGAGGUCAAGUUGUAUAAAACACAAAGACCAGACCGGAGUUUGGGCUUGGACAGGAGAAAGAGUGCAGGGAAUUAUGGAACAGAGCAAACUGUAGUCAACAGAAGCAUUCAAGAUGGGAGAAAUGAAACCAGCUCCUCAAAAAGCCUGAAAUGAGGGAGAACAAGGAGGCAUGAUGACAGGAGGAGGCUUCAAAUCAGUUCAAGUGUUGCUUCUGUUAGAUGACAUUUGGUCUCCACAUUCUAAGAGGUUUUUAAAGCGGUGUAUGAAUAUUAAAUGGAAUAAUGAAA